AUUGAACACUGGCGGCAGGCUUAACACAUGCAAGUCGAGCGGGGGAAGGUAGCUUGCUACCGGACCUAGCGGCGGACGGGUGAGUAAUGCUUAGGAAUCUGCCUAUUAGUGGGGGACAACAUCUCGAAAGGGAUGCUAAUACCGCAUACGUCCUACGGGAGAAAGCAGGGGAUGUUCGGACCUUGCGCUAAUAGAUGAGCCUAAGUCGGAUUAGCUAGUUGGUGGGGUAAAGACCUACCAAGGCGACGAUCUGUAGCGGGGCUGAGAGGAUGAUCCGACACAAUGGGACUGAGACACGGCCCAGACUCCUACGGGAGGCAGCAGUGGGGAAUAUUGGACAAUGGGGGGAUCCCUGAUCCAGCCAUGCCGCGUGUGUGAAGAAGGCCUUAUGGUUGUAAAGCACUUUAAGCGAGGAGGAGGCUACUCUAGUUAAUACCUAGGGAUAGUGGACGUUACUCGCAGAAUAAGCACCGGCUAACUCUGUGCCAGCCGCCGCCGUAA
rnacentral:rRNA from 1 species